UACGUAGGGGGCUAGCGUUGUCCGGAAUCACUGGGCGUAAAGCGCGUGUAGGCGGUCCGGUAAGUCCGCUGUGAAAGUCGGGGGCUCAACCCUCGAAUGCCGGUGGAUACUGUCGGGCUAGAGUGCGGGAGAGGCGAGUGGAAUUCCUGGUGUAGCGGUGAAAUGCGCAGAUAUCAGGAGGAACACCAAUUGCGAAGGCAGCUCGCUGGGACGUUACUGACGCUGAGACGCGAAAGCGUGGGGAGCAAACAGG
rnacentral:rRNA from 1 species